AAAGAAGGGGUGCCCGCUGGGUCUUGUGCCCAAGGCGGCUGAGAGGAGCUUCGAGCUUAAACCCUUUGCCCACAGGGCAGGAACCUGAUCCGGAUAAUACCGGCGUAGGGAGCAUUU
rnacentral:ncRNA from 1 species